UUUUUUUCAAUUAGCACGACUCGUCACAUAAUCGAGCAGCUAUUCGGGUUCUCCUCGCUGAACAUCUCGAACGAGUUCGACGGUUGCAGACGAUAAUCGCCCGAAUAGUGCGGCCGCCGGUGCUCCUCCUCCAUAGCAGGUCCAUAAAAAUGAGGGUGCGGCGGCCGGUGCUCCUCCUCCAUAGCAGGCCCAUAAAAAUGAGGGUGUGGCGGCGGGUCAGAGGCGUAAUGCGACUCGGCAUAGGAGGUGCUAGCGUACUCCGUGCGGUGGCUGACCGGGCGGGUGGGAUUCGCCGUGUGGUGACUAACCAGCGGAGGCCCGGCGUGGUAAUCG
rnacentral:lncRNA from 1 species